GGUGAGGUAGACGAAAUGUAAAGUAAGUUUGAGGAUGAGUUGCUGUGCUCCGUUGUCUCAUCACUAAAAUGAUAAAAUGUGUUAUCCUAAUUACUGUCAUCGCGAAGAAUACUUAAAUCACUAAAAUCAGUAAAUAAACGGUUCGUAUUCCUAACGCCGGGGAAGAGUAGGUACCCAGCAGGACUCUGAACCAAUCAGUGGAGACUUGUGACGUAAUGUGUGGCGAUAUCCAAUAGGCAAAAAGAGUCGUUCAUGCACGUUGUCAGUCCUCAGUUCUCUCGCGUAGUAGUGUGCAUUGUGGCUGUUUAUCUGUGUUUAUCUGGAAACUGGGACGUCAUCAGCUGUCAGGGGUUUUGAGGUUGAUUCGCCGCGUCAUGCUAAGGAUUACAGGACUACUGGAGGGCCUUGUGAGAAACAGCACUCCUUGACCCAGCGCUUUCCCUGUAUUAAUGAACCUCAGUCCUCCGUCAGUGGUUCGUAAAGUUAAAGAUAUUUGCACGGUGGUGAACAUUAUGGUGAAUGAUGAAAUUAGAGCCCCUGGUUUGGCGCCAUUUGAGAAAGGUUAACAGAAGCAGUGAAAAAUUGCUCAGGAAAAGUACUUGGCAAAGCUCUUGUCACAUUGGAAGAAAACGAAGAGAAGAGAAAACGGAGAGACGGUGAUGUUGCAAGGUACUCUUUCCAUCAUUCGUUACUCCCACGUCACCUUCCCUCACCGCACCACGCCCACUCAGGCUCAACCUUCACCCUACAAAACUCAAGCCCGCCACAGCUAAACAUCGUGCGGCAUCCAUGACCACACACAAGCUCGUAUCUCUUGCCUCAUCACGGUACGCCUGAAACUCAUCCGCCGUUGGAGCCCUGACUCUGCCAUAUGAUAAUACAGAUUGGACACAAUGAUGCAUCACGAAGGAGAGACAAAUAAGUGGAAAACUUGGAAGGAAAUCUCAGGCUGGAGCAGGAGCACUAUACAUUGCCUAUAACAUUGUGACUACACGUCUCCACACGUCUUGUACACGUUCUGUCUGAAGAAUGCUUUUAUUGGAUUUAUUACUGAAUAUAAUGCUGUGCACCUGAUUUAGGCUAAAUUCCGUUUCACUUUACAUCGCACCCUAAAAAGAGUAAAUAAAAAUAAUAAUAA